AGCUCCAAUAGCGUAUAUUAAAGUUGUUGCAGUUAAAAAGCUCGUAGUUGAACUUCUGGGAGUCGCGACGGCGGCAUUGUCGUAGUCUGCGGCUUUCAUCCGCUUGAGAACCACGUACGUCCUUGAGUGGUCGGCGUGGGAAUCAGGCCUUUUACUGUGAAAAAAUCAGAGUGUUCAAGGCAGGCAAGCGCCCUGAAUACACAAGCAUGGAAUAAUAGAAUAGGACUAGUGUCUAUUUUGUUGGUUAUUGGACAUUAGUAAUGAUUAAUAGGGACAGUUGGGGGCAUUAGUAUUUAAUAGUCAGAGGUGAAAUUCUUGGAUUUAUUAAAGGCUAACUUAUGCGAAAGCAUUUGCCAAGGAUGUUUUCA
rnacentral:rRNA from 1 species